rnacentral:rRNA from 1 species
GAGCACUUGAAUGAUGUGCUGAGAACUAGUCAGAUUUUCCCAGAUUAUGAAGAUAUUCCGCCUACCUGAGGUAGCGCCGGGAUAAAGUUCGAUAGCAAGACAAGUUGUGAGUCGAGCGAAGGAGUUUAGCCUGCUAAAUGACUGAGCGAGAGAGCAACUUAACAUAGCUAGCGGGCUUUAUAGCCAGCGGAAUGUAUUCAAAAGAAUUUGCUUGGCGACCAUAGCAUUAUGGACCCACCUGAUCCCAUGCCGAACUCAGUAGUGAAACGUAAUAGCGCCGAUGGUAGUGUGGGGUCUCCCCAUGUGAGAGUAGGACAUCGCCAGGC